GUGCUUGCUUCGGCAGCACAUAUACUAAAAUUGGAAUGAUACAGAGAAGAUCAGCAUGGCCCCUGCGCAAGGAUGACACGCAAAUCCUUUAUUCUAGUCUGUAUUUGU